rnacentral:rRNA from 1 species
GACGAACGCUGGCGGCGUGCCUAAUACAUGCAAGUAGGACGCAGUUGCGAACGGGUGAGUAACGCGUAGGUAACUACCUAGUAGAGGGGGAUAACUAUUUGAAACGAUAGCUAAUACCGCAUACUAGUAGAUGGACCUGCGUUGAAUUAGCUAGUAGGUAGGGUAAUGACCUACCUAGGCAACGAUACAUAUCCGACCUGAUAGGUGGAUCUGCCCCUAUGGGACUGAGACACGGCCCCGACUCCUCCGGGAUGCAGCAGUAGGUAAUCUUCGGCAAUGGGUGGAACACUGACCGAGCAAGGCCGCGGGAGUGAAGAAGGUUUUCGGAUCGUAAAUCUCUGUUGUUAAGGAGGCGGUACUUAACCAGAAAAGGACGGCUAACUACGUGCCAGCAGCCGCGGUAAUUC